GCCGGGGUGCCCGAGCGGUUUAAGGGGGUAGGCUCGAGACCUCCAGCGUUAGGAAAGCAAGCGACCUACUGCCUCUACGAGGCACACGGGUUCGAAUCCCGUCCCCGGCG
rnacentral:tRNA from 1 species